rnacentral:lncRNA from 1 species
CUCAUUAAUUAUAUAUUGUUAUAAUUUGAUUUUAAUAAUCUUAUUGUGCAUUUAAAAUUCCUAAACAGCUAAAUGUGCUUUUUCUUGAUUGAAAUUUCAGGUGUUCACGCUCAUAAUUAGAAAUUAAAGCUUAACUAAAUUUCUAAGAUGAUUCGUGGAAAGAGAAGUGUAUUCAGCUUGAUGCAUUGUUGUUUAGAAACUAAAUGGUUCAGCUGGAAGCGCAUGUGCUUAGUUUACUAGUUUGUUACUCUGUUAAUUCGGUUAUGUCAUUUGAUUUUGUAUCAUCGUGUUUAAUGUAGAUUUGCUAGCUUCAACCUACUAGUUGCUAUAAAUAAAUAAGUAAUCAUGUUG